rnacentral:tRNA from 1 species
GCGGGUGUAGCUCAAUGGUAGAGUUCUGGCCUUCCAAGCCAGCUGUGAGGGUUCGAUCCCCUCCCUUCACCCGCUCCA